ACUGACACGACGGCGCGCGUGUGAACAGCUUGAAUGUCCGCCUGCCCGCGACGGGCUGCACGCCGCGCAGCCCGCCAGGCAGCCCGCCGGGUUGCGCGGCGCGCGUGUGAACGUAGCAUAAGAUUGGCCGAUUGCGAUAAAAACCAUAGAAAGAAGAAUAAUAACCAUAACCUCAAAGUCGAAGUUUUGUUCAAAUGUCAUUUAGUUGUUCAAAUGUCAUUGUCAUUUACUUUGUUUGGAUUACACACAUCAUGCCGAAAAUCGUAAGUAUUUCAUAAAAUGUUUCGUUGGUCGUGUCUCUGUCUUCGUUUAGUCUUUUGUUUGAUGAUACCUAUAUCAUUUUGUUAACAGCCGAAUCUCCGUGCAUUUGGUAAACAUUGUCACAAUUGUGGAAAGUGGAUGGAGCGAAGGGCUCUUCGUAAAGAUGUGACAUGCAAUUUUUGUAAUGGCAAAAUAUUUGCAAGAGAUGGCAAACAAAAGCAAAUGUGCAGUCGAUGUGUGGAAUGCGACAACAUUAUACUCGGUCGAUAACGAAGAGUUGAAUGUUAGAACUUAUGAAAAUAUUAUUUACAACUCAUUUCGAGAAGCUGCUCAAGCAAGAGGGCUCCUUUUUGACGAUCAAGAAUGGGAAAGAUGUUUGAAUGAAGCAAUUGAUUUUAAACUUCCUCGGCAAUUAUUUCGAGUUCGAAGAUUCGAUGAUGUAAAAAUUCAAAUUAUCAAUACCACUGAACAAGGCUUCAAAGGUGAUAAAUAUUUAUCGAAAAAUGUUAUAUAUAGAGAAAUUUUGUGAAAAUCAACCUCUGAUGUAUAAUAGAGAAUAUUUUUUUAUAAGUACCUUUGCCAAAUUCUCGGAUAAGUACUCAUUGUAAAAUUACAAUUUACAUACUUCCUAAUAUUAUUCUUGAUUUAGCCAAUUUGGAUAAAGAACCACAAUUUCAUAUUUUAUUUUUAAAAUUAGUAAGUACUUAUCUACCUGUCAAAGUAAAGA